CUUCGCCGGGAUGCUCAGUAGCGGCGAGUGAGCGGCAGAGCCCACGUUUGAAUCCCUCGGGAGUUGUAGCGGUUGCGGUGGCGGAGUCCAAGUCCCCUGGAAUGGGGCGCGGUACAGGGUGAGAGCCCCGUGGACAGGCCUGCGCGACGUUGUGAGUCGAGUUGUUUGGGAAUGCAGCUCCAAGGGGUGGUAUGCUCCAUCCAAGGCUAAAUAGUGGCGAGAGACCGAUAGCGAACAAGUACUGUGAAGGAAAGA
rnacentral:rRNA from 1 species